GUCAGGAUGGCCGAUCGGUCUAAGGCGCUGCGUUUAGAUCAAAUUCCCCUUUUGUGGGCGUGGGUUUGAAUCCUACUUUUGACA